CGAUCUUCAUCCGCAGUUCGCUGAAGUGGCGACUUGCUCCGACGAAAUUUGUCGCGUUGUCGCAGUUCACGCGUUGCGGACAUCCUCGACGACCGACGAACCUUUGGAAUGCCAACAAGAAGGAAUUAGUCGUCAAAUCGGAGACAAUUUCUAAAUGAACCGCCUUGGACGCAAAACAGACAAAUAACGCUAUGUAGGACUUAUGAGGGGGCCUUCCACGAAUUUUCAGAGUCGUAUAGACUGGGCCACAAAAAUCAACGCCACAUACUGAAAAUGGGCGGAGAGCACGGAGCCGGUCUGCGGACCGCCUGAGCAUUCACUAUCCAAAUGCGCUGUCUAAGGAUACUCACGAGUGCUCGUGGGCCGGCAUGAAAAUUCGUUUGAUGCAGAUAGCGAACGUAUGUCUGCACAAACUGCGAGCGUUUUGUCAAUAACAAAGGAAACUUGGCAUUAUAUGACAUAGGAGCGUUAACUAGUCGCCCCCCAACUCGCAACAACG